AACACGUGUGCAACCUGCCUUUAUCUGGGGGAUAGCCUUUCGAAAGGAAGAUUAAUACCCCAUAAUAUAUUGAGUGGCAUCACUUGAUAUUGAAAACUCCGGUGGAUAGAGAUGGGCACGCGCAAGAUUAGAUAGUUGGUGAGGUAACGGCUCACCAAGUCAAUGAUCUUUAGGGGGCCUGAGAGGGUGAUCCCCCACACUGGUACUGAGACACGGACCAGACUCCUACGGGAGGCAGCAGUGAGGAAUAUUGGACAAUGGGUGAGAGCCUGAUCCAGCCAUCCCGCGUGAAGGACGACUGCCCUAUGGGUUGUAAAUUUCUUUUAUACUGGGAUAAACCUACCCUCGUGAGGGUAGCUGAAGGUACAGUAUGAAUAAGCACCGGCUAACUCCGUGCCAGCAGCCGCGGUAAUACGGAGGGUGCAAGCGUUAUCCGGAUUUAUUGGGUUUAAAGGGUCCGUAGGCGGACUCGUAAGUCAGUGGUGAAAUCUCAUAGCUUAACUAUGAAACUGCCAUUGAUACUGCGGGUCUUGAGUAAAGUAGAAGUGGCUGGAAUAAGUAGUGUAGCGGUGAAAUGCAUAGAUAUUACUUAG
rnacentral:rRNA from 1 species